rnacentral:rRNA from 1 species
UACGUAUGGGGCAAGCGUUAUCCGGAUUUACUGGGUGUAAAGGGAGCGUAGGCGGCAUGGCAAGUCAGAAGUGAAAGCCUGGGGCUCAACCCCGGAAUUGCUUUUGAAACUGUCAGGCUAGAGUGUCGGAGGGGUAAGCGGAAUUCCUAGUGUAGCGGUGAAAUGCGUAGAUAUUAGGAGGAACACCGGUGGCGAAGGCGGCUUACUGGACGAUUACUGACGCUGAGGCUCGAAAGCGUGGGGAGCAAACAGGAUUAGAUACCCUAGUAGUCCCUACGACU